rnacentral:lncRNA from 1 species
UUGAACCCUCCAAACCACUGUUUUUACAGUUGAGAAAACAGGGCCUCAGGGAGGUUAGGUAAAUCUUACAAGGCUGACUCCAAUGUCUAUACUUCCACCCUAUACCCCCAGUGAGUCUGGGGUCAAUAGCACACCCUCUGGUGCCCUCCUGCCCCACCCCUGGAUGGAAUGGGCCAUUUUCCUGAUAUACCCCUAAGUCCUCCGCUGGUGCUCCUCGUUCGUGGACAUUACUAAUCACUACCAAGGAUUGGUAUUGUCAAAUUUUGCCCCCAGACAAGAUCGACCUGAGGGAUGCAUCUAAAUUAAACUAUGCACACAAUUAGAACAAAGAGGAGUCUGGAUUUCUCAAAAAUACUAAGAGGCUUUCCUUUAAUCAGCAUUUUUGAAAGCUCCAGACGCAAUUGGCAGUCUCUAAAUUUUUAAAGGAGACUAACCGGAACAAUUAACCAAUGUCUGUAAAACAGAGAGCCCUGUAUCUCCCUGCUCCCCCACUUGCAUUCCACCUCCAUUUUUUCCAUCUCACCACCACUCUCUUUGCCUGGAAUAUUGCAGGGACCCUGAGGGUACCAGCAAAAGCCCUUUGAGCCCCUCCAGCUCCUCCAAGAUUGCAGACAACUGGCUGCAUUUCUCCUGAGUCUCAGACUUCCCACAUAAUUCCGGUCCUGAGUUCUGUUCGGCUAGAUAUUCUCACUCCUCGAUGAAGUCGUGAGUUUUUCCUUGAGACUUUUUGUUUCUCAGGAAGGGGGUAAUCACUCUGGGGUUCUCCCCUGUGUGCACGUGGAUAACUGUAUGCCAUUUCUCUUGCUCAACUCCUUUGUGAGGUGAUUUUUCAGUGAACUUUCAGAAGGCAAAGGGGAAGCUUUCCCUUGGACCCUACAGUUUUGGUGCUGUGGGCAGGCUCACCAAAGCCACUCUGCUCUUCUAGAAGCCACAGUGAAGGGAACCCAGGGCUUGACAACGGGCAAAAGGGGAGAGCCAUAAUGCAAGCCAUUCCUAGUGGAAAAGUUGAGAAGGAAGAACAGCUUAUUCCAGACCAGUGAAAUUGAAAUUCCCAUGUGGAACAACAUAAGAGGAAAGAGGCCUUCCCUUACAAAGUUGGACAGCCCUCUCGCAUGGCAAUUUGGCGGUAAGUAUCAACAUGUUCAGUGUAUAUAACCUUUGCCCAAGCAAUACCACUUCUGGGAAUCUACAGAAAUUCUACCAGAAGACCACAAAGAUACAUAAGCCCUGAGCACUGAAGCACUGUCUGAUGUGAAAACCUGAAAAUAUCCUUUGUGUUUCCCAUAAGCAAACAUUGAUGCAUUUAUGCCGUGAAAAGGGCUGUUAGAGCAAGGCCGAUCUGAGGGAUGAAUAUUGACGUAUAUCAUUAUGAUGACACGUGAGAAAAGUAAGUCACAGAAUAGGAUUAGCUUAUUGCUUAUAUUUAACUGAUAUGAAAUUGGCAAGCAAAGACAAUUAUGCACUCCACACAAGAGUGAGUGAUGUAAAUAACAUUUGGAAUUCUGCACACCCUUCCACCAUCCUUGGUCCCAGAGGGAGAUGCGGGCAUCAUCAGUCUCCCAGGAUUCCCAGCAUUGAGAGCUGCUCUGGUGUCUGAGUGUGGCUUCCAGCAUUAAGAAAAAUAGGUAUCCUUGGGCCGGGUGCGGUGGCUCACACCUGUAAUCUCAGCUCUUUGGGAGGCCAAGAUGGGUGGAUUGCCUGAGGUCAGGGGUUCGAGACCAGCCUGGCCAACAUGGUGAAACCCCG